UUUAGACCUAAAGGCCGAAACAAUACUCAAUUUAUAGCUUCUUCUUUUUUCCCUCUACUCUAUUUCUCCAAUCCAGGAGUCAUCUUCCUCCAUCACUCCAUGCGAUUCCUCUACUAUUUCUCUCUCCUCCGUACCCAAAGACAGUUUAAUGUCUCCUCUGUUCUUUUCUCCACACAAAUAAAAGUAUCAGCACCAUUUUCUUCAACAAUUCAAC
rnacentral:lncRNA from 1 species